rnacentral:rRNA from 1 species
UACGAAGGGGGCAAGCGUUGUUCGGAAUCACUGGGCGUAAAGCGCGCGCAGGUGGUUAUGUAAGUUUGGUGUGAAAUCCCUGAGCUCAACUCAGGAAUGGCAUCGAAUACUGCAUAACUCGAGGGCGAGAGGGAGAGAUGGAAUGGCGAGUGGAGCAGUGAAAUGCGUUGAUAUUCGUUGGAACACCGGAGGCGAAGGCGAUCUCUUGGCUCGCAACUGACACUGAGGCGCGAAAGCGUGGGGAGCAAACAGG